GAGGGUAUAGCUCAGUGGUAGAGCGUGUAUGAGGUCCUGGGUUCAAUCCCUGGUACCGUCA
rnacentral:tRNA from 1 species